rnacentral:rRNA from 1 species
CCCUUAGAUGUUCUGGGCCGCACGCGCGCUACACUGAUGCAUUCAACGAGUCUACAACCUGGUCUGAUAGGGCUGGGUAAUCUUUUGAAUGUGCAUCGUGAUUGGGAUAGAUGAUUGCAAUUCUUCAUCUUCAAAGAGGAAUGCCUAGUAAACGCAAGUCAUCAGCUUGCAUUGAAUACGUCCCUGCCCUUUGUACACACCGCCCGUCGCUCCUACCGAUCGAAGAGUUAGGUGAAUUGUUUUGAUCGAUAAGAUUUGACUAUGGUCAACUCUCGUUGUGAAAUUCUGUGAAUCUGACUGUUUAGAGGAAGGAAAAGUCGUAACA